GACGAACGCUGGCGGCGUGCCUAAUACAUGCAAGUAGAACGCACAGUUUAUACCGUAGCUUGCUACACCAUAGACUGUGAGUUGCGAACGGGUGAGUAACGCGUAGGUAACCUGCCUGGUAGCGGGGGAUAACUAUUGGAAACGAUAGCUAAUACCGCAUAAUAUUAAUUAUUGCAUGAUAAUUAAUUGAAAGGUGCAAUUGCACCACUACCAGAUGGACCUGCGUUGUAUUAGCUAGUAGGUGAGGUAACGGCUCACCUAGGCGACGAUACAUAGCCGACCUGAGAGGGUGAUCGGCCACACUGGGACUGAGACACGGCCCAGACUCCUACGGGAGGCAGCAGUAGGGAAUCUUCGGCAAUGGACGAGAGUCUGACCGAGCAACGCCGCGGGAGUGAAGAAGGUUGUCGGAUCGUAAAGCUCGGUUGUAAGAGAAGAACGGGUGUGAGAGUGGAAAGUUCACACUGUGACGGUAUCUUACAAGAAAGGAACGGCUAACUACGUG
rnacentral:rRNA from 1 species